GUACUCCGUACCGCGAACUGGUUGCUGUAUGCCCGCUGCCGAUGCCGCCGCCCACAGUUCUCCGCCCUAUUUACCUGUCCCGUACCCAGUACCCCGUACCCAGUCCACGGAUGGCUGCAGCCAGCCUGCUCUUCUGCAGCCAGCCGUUGCUCUGCACAUGUGGAAUUGUGUAACUACCAGUCAGUAUUCAUCAUUCUCUGGGGAAUUGGUUUUUUUUUUUUUUUUUUCUGUGUUUCUUAAGACUCUAUUUUCCCUAACAAAUCCUCCAAUUUCUCACCCCCAAUCUCCAAUUCUACACUUCUUGAAGUGAUGCUGAGAAGCCAGUGUGUUUGAGAUGGAAUGAAAUCACCUCUGGCUAGAGCUGAAUACCCAGGUACUUGUCUUAGUAUGGCUUCAAAUUUGAAUCCUGGGCAGGCUCAAGAAGUCCUUGGCAAAUAUCCGAACUCCCCCUUCAGAUAUUCUGAACCCCCCCCCUAUGUAUGAGUCAAAAUUCUUGAGGAAAUCCCGACAAGUCAGCACUAUCUCUUUUUUUCCUCCUCUCUCUCCGCGAGCCCAAAAAAAACCAGUCCCUCUUGGCGUCGGGAGGAGCCAGGACCCACCAGGAUAGUAAUCACAAUUCCCGCAUCCUAAGCUGAACAAAAACAUGAGCAUGGGAUACGUUCCCCCCUCCUUUCACCUCCGAUUCCACGCUGACCCCUGGGCACCAUUCCACCCACCAGGACGACGAACGAGCCGAGGAAUCGCUCGCUAUUUAACUCCCUUGCCGUAGCGUCGAAUUUCGGAGGUUUCGGGUUUAAGGGAAAGUGGAUGAUCUGUUCGCUCGACUUGUCUGUCCUUGAUCCUUGAUCCCAAAGACCAAACAAAGACCGUGCACGCCACGCGGCUUUUGGCGACAGACAGCCAAGUAGGAUUUGAGGUUGAAGGGCGGGCCUGGCUGGUUUGGUUUGGUUUGGUUUGGUUGGACCCGUCCAGGGUAAUUGGGUAUUCGGUUCAAAUUGCAUAUAUGACAUGUACAGUACGGAGUACUAUGCAUAUAUAUAUAUAUAAAGCCAGUGUUUAGUGAUGAUCGAUGGCCCUUCUUCUUCUUUUUCUUCUUCUUCUUCUUCUUCUUCUUCUGCUUCCCAUCAAACGUCUCCGUCCCGGCGAUGCAGAGUAUCCAGAUCCAGUUUAUUACGCUUUUAAGCCAUUCAUUCACUUUUGAUGUAUUUAAUUCUGCUUGGUCCUGCUCCCAGCUCCACGCCCAUCAUCGUCAUCAUCAUCAUCAUUGACAUGGCACCGGCUUAUUGGCAGGAGACAAGCUACCACAAGCUACCUACAUAUAUGUGAUAAGUCCAAUUUCUCCCGGCCGGGCAACAACGUUUAUUAUAUCGACAUUUCACACACGCCACCCACCCACUCACUCACUACUCACUCACUCACUUUCCCCCCCCACCUCUCCCUGCAUUCAACCCGCAUACAUGCCCCAUAUUGUGGGGUCCCCAUGGCCCCGAGGUGCUCCAUCACAAAGUCAUUCCAUGGAAGAAAACCAAAAACA
rnacentral:sRNA from 1 species